rnacentral:tRNA from 1 species
ACAGUGGUGGUUCAGUGGUAGAAUUCUUACCUUCCAUGAAGGAGACCUGGGUUCGAUUCCCGGCCAAUGCA